GACGAACGCUGGCGGCGUGCCUAACACAUGCAAGUCAACUUGACUGAAGGAGCAAUCUGACAGUAGAGUGGCGCAAGGGUGCGUAACGCGUAAGUAACUUGCCCCAAGGUAAGGAAUAACGUCGAGAAAUCGGCGCUAAUACCUCAUAAUGCAGCGGAUCCGCAUGGAUAUGUUGUUAAAAGGUUUACCGCCUUGGGAUAGGCUUGCGUCUGAUUAGCUAGUUGGUGUGGUAACGGCACACCAAGGCUACGAUCAGUAACUGGUCUGAGAGGAUGAUCAGUCACACUGGAACUGAGACACGGUCCAGACUCCUACGGGAGGCAGCAGUGAGGAAUAUUGGGCAAUGCUCGAAAGAGUGACCCAGCAACGCCGCGUGGAGGAUGAAGGUAUUCUAUAUCGUAAACUCCUGUGAGAGCAGACGAAAGACAGAUUAUAAUCUGGAUGACUGUAUGCUCAGAGGAAGCCCCGGCUAACUACGU
rnacentral:rRNA from 1 species